CUUAAUAAACCUUAUAUCUACCUUGCAUACACGACUUACUUACUUGCUUACUUACGUAUUACUUUUCCUUUAUUUUCUAUCUCUGUAAUUACCUUUACGCAUUACUCAUUCCUUUACCUUCUUUUAAAGAGAGUUUAUCAUUUUAGAAAAAAAAUCCACGCCUUUUAAUGUGACAAUAACGACGAUAUUAGUUUCUCGCGCAAGAUUCGUCGAGGGCAUAGGCACGAUAAAAAGGGACCACUCCUCUUUUCGAUAACUCUCCGUAUUACGUAAAUCGAUUGUUCUGAUGGCAUACCGGCCACUAUGAGGACGACGACGACGAGGACAUGCGGGCCACCAUCCCACAUUGUCUUGUUGCACAGAGAGAGAGGUCUUCCAAAAACGCAUAAUCUAUCUCUCUUUCAUUUUACUUCAAGAUCGAUCCGAAUUUAAGAAAAACGAUAGCAGAAUCCUAAACUUCUGCUAUUAUAAUGCUUAUCAUUAGAAGUUUUAUCUAACGCUAACGCGUUAGACGAACUCGCACGCGAUUAAUCUCCUAUUUAAAUAUUCUUAUAUUUUUAAUGUAUAUAUGUAUCAUUAAUUUUGAACGAUAAUUGUACACAUAAGAAGACAUAAAUGUUAUCAUAUAUGUAUUAAAAUAUACACAAAAUGUACAACAUAAAUCGCAUCUCAGCCGUCACGCAAUAUGAUCAAGCGAGCUCAGCGGUAAAAAAAUAGGAUUUUGACGAAUUAAAAUGUUUCUUUUUUUUUUUUUAAUUCUAAUGCGGAACUCUCUUGAUAUAUAUGUAUGUAUGUAUGUAUAUAUGUAUGUAUAUAUGCUCCGUUUUUCUACAACAAAGUACAAAGAUAGGAAAUGGCUUAUCGCACCACAGAGUAUGAUGAUCUUAUUAUUGCGCAAUACAUAUUGUUCACAAAUAUCGGAAAGCGUUAAAUAAGAAAUAAAUUAAAUUUAUUGAAGAGAAAAGAAAAAGGAAUAAUAAAAAA